rnacentral:rRNA from 1 species
AGAAACUCAAAUGAAUUGACGGGACCCCGCACAAGCGGUGGAUCAUGUUGUUUAAUUCGAUGAUACGCGAAGAACCUUACCAGGUCUUGACAUCCCCCCGCGAUGCUUUAGAGAUAAAGCGGAGGUAUUCGGGGAGACAGGUGGUGCAUGGUUGUCGUCAGCUCGUGUCGUGAGAUGUUGGGUUAAGUCCCGCAACGAGCGCAACCCUUGCCUUUAGUUGCCAGCAGUUCGGCUGGGCACUCUAAAGGGACUGCCGGUGUUAAACCGGAGGAAGGUGGGGAUGACGUCAAGUCAUCAUGGCCCUUACGGCCUGGGCUACACACGUGCUACAAUGGUCGGUACAAAGGGUUGCCAAGCCGCGAGGUGGAGCUAAUCCCAUAAAACCGAUCGUAGUCCGGAUCGCAGUCUGCAACUCGACUGCGUGAAGUCGGAAUCGCUAGUAAUCGUGAAUCAGAAUGUCACGGUGAAUACGUUCCCGGGCCUU